rnacentral:lncRNA from 1 species
CUCAGAGUUCCAACAUACAUUUUGAUAAGAUGAUCAGAAUAUAUGGCUUCGUUAAAAAUGAAGAGGAGCCCUGUAUAUAUAAAUGGGCUAAUGGUUCAAUAAUUAUAUUUUUUAUUUUGUAUAUAGACGAUAUUCUCUUAAUCAGGAAUGAUAUCUCCAUAUUACAGGGAAUAAAAGUGUAGCUGUCAUCACAAUUCUCUAUGAAA